UGCAUCCACUCUUCCCAAGGCUCUCUCCCAAAGCCGAAUGAGUUGAGAAGUGCCUUUUUGCUCAAGAGAGACAGUGAAGAACAGAUUCAAGAAUAUGGCAAGGCUCUUGGUUCUUGUUGGCAGAAAAGAGAGUGAGGAGGAAUCCACUGUCAUUCACAUAUGAAUAAAGAAGUUUCUGGAAACUGAAAUCUGCAGUCUGUUCUUCCAUCACCUUGGCCUGCCACAGGUGUUGAAUCUAUGUAAAGGAAGUGCAAAGUAUUCAAGAACAUACCUUUUCCCACCUAUUCUCCUGGACAAAGUAAGUGUGACAGACUUCACUGGAAAAAUCUCUCCAGCUCUCUUUAUCCAUGACAUCCAAAGGAGCUAUUUUUUGCGUUGUUGUGAGCUGAGACUGCAGAAAUCUCCACAAAAGUGUCCCCAAGACAAUUGUGUGUGCACAAAGACAGAAUAUAACGGCAGGGGUAUUCUGUAGUGUGUGGAAAAUCUCAUAUACUUCUUGGAAACUGUACCAGUAUGGACAACAAUACCAAAUGAGAAAAGGCAGAUGGGAUAAUUAAAACAAUACACAGUGCCGAAGCAAAGCCUAAGCAUUGUGUUUAAACUUAGAAACGGUACAAAUCAUCUAGUCACUGAAACACUUUUCCAAUCACCGUUUCAAUAAAGUAAAUAGCUCCUUAAAGAACA
rnacentral:lncRNA from 1 species